rnacentral:rRNA from 1 species
UGGGGAAUUUUGGACAAUGGGCGAAAGCCUGAUCCAGCAAUGCCGCGUGUGUGAAGAAGGCCUUCGGGUUGUAAAGCACUUUUGUCCGGAAAGAAAUCCUUGGCUCUAAUACAGUCGGGGGAUGACGGUACCGGAAGAAUAAGCACCGGCUAACUACGUGCCAGCAGCCGCGGUAAUACGUAGGGUGCAAGCGUUAAUCGGAAUUACUGGGCGUAAAGCGUGCGCAGGCGGUUUGCUAAGACCGAUGUGAAAUCCCCGGGCUCAACCUGGGAACUGCAUUGGUGACUGGCAGGCUAGAGUAUGGCAGAGGGGGGUAGAAUUCCACGUGUAGCAGUGAAAUGCGUAGAGAUGUGGAGGAAUACCGAUGGCGAAGGCAGCCCCCUGGGCCAAUACUGACGCUCAUGCACGAAAGCGUGGGGAGCAAAACAGGAUUAGAUACCCUGGUAGUCCACGCCCUAAACGAUGUCAACUAGUUGUUGGGGAUUCAUUUCCUUAGUAACGUAGCUAACGCGUGAAGUUGACCGCCUGGGGAGUACGGUCGCAAGAUUAAAACUCAAAUGAAUUGACGGGGUCAUAGCUGUUUCCU